CACUUUCGAAUCGGUGCUCGACCCAGGCCUGGAGCACCGCUUCACGAGGAAGUAAAUCUUCAUUACCGACGAGACGAGCGGCGAGGCGGCACCGCGGCUCCAGGCGGGGCGGCGGCUCCUCCGACACCCGCGUCAUGCCCUUCAGCUUCCAGCAGCAGACGAGCGGCUGAACAGACACUCCCCGGGAUGACUGAACGACAGCCAGGCUGGACUGAAUGAUCCAGCAGUUGCUGCAGUUACACUGGGACUUUCCAAAUACAGCAAAACAUACUCGCCACCUUCCUCUUG